AUUGAACGCUGGCGGCAUGCCUUACACAUGCAAGUCGAACGGCAGCACGGGGCAACCUGGUGGCGAGUGGCGAACGGGUGAGUAAUGCAUCGGAACGUACCUUUCAGUGGGGGAUAACGUAGCGAAAGUUACGCUAAUACCGCAUAUUCUGUGAGCAGGAAAGCAGGGGAUCGCAAGACCUUGCGCUGAUUGAGCGGCCGAUGUCAGAUUAGCUAGUUGGCGAGGUAAAGGCUCACCAAGGCGACGAUCUGUAGCGGGUCUGAGAGGAUGAUCCGCCACACUGGAACUGAGACACGGUCCAGACUCCUACGGGAGGCAGCAGUGGGGAAUUUUGGACAAUGGGGGCAACCCUGAGCCAGCCAUGCCGCGUGAGUGAAGAAGGCCUUCGGGUUGUAAAGCUCUUUCGGCCGGGAAGAAAUCGCACGGGCUAAUACCCUGUGUGGAUGACGGUACCGGAAUAAGAAGCACCGGCUAACUACGUGCCAGCCGCCGCGGUAAAAC
rnacentral:rRNA from 1 species